rnacentral:piRNA from 1 species
UGGUAUAAGAUGCUGUGUUUCACCUGCCCA